ACCUACAGGGCGCAGCAGUGGGGAAUAUUGCACAAUGGGGGGAACCCUGAUGCAGCGACGCCGCGUGAGUGAAGAAGUAUUUCGGUAUGUAAAGCUCUGUCAGCAGGGAAGAAGAAAGACGGUACCUGACCAAGAAGCCCCGGCUAACUACGUGCCAGCAGCCGCGGUAAUACGUAGGGGGCAAGCGUUAUCCGGAUUUACUGGGUGUAAAGGGAGCGUAGACGGCGAUGCAAGUCUGAAGUGAAAGGCGGGGGCCCAACCCCCGGACUGCUUUGGAAACUGUAUGGCUGGAGGGCAGGAGAGGG
rnacentral:rRNA from 1 species